AGUGAACGUUGGCGGCGUGGAUUAGGCAUGCAAGUCGAGCGAUCGUAGCAAUACGGGAGCGGCAAACGGGGGUAGGAAUACAUCGGAACGUACCUUUUGGGUUGAGAAUAGCGUUGGGAAACUGACGGUAAUACUCAAUAAAGUCGAGAGACCAAAGGUUUACUGCCGGAAGAGCGGCCGAUGCGAUAUUAGGUAGUUGGUGGGGUAAUGGCCUACCAAGCCUGAGAUGUCUAGGGGGUGUGAGAGCAUGGCCCCCACCACUGGGACUGAGAUACUGCCCAGACACCUACGGGUGGCUGCAGUCGAGGAUCUUCGUCAAUGGGCGAAAGCCUGAACGAGCGACGCCGCGUGCGGGAUGAAGGCCCUUGGGUUGUAAACCGCUGUCAGGGGGGAUGAACCGUAAGGUUGACAGAGCCCCAGAGGAAGCACGGGCUAAGUUCGUGCCAGCAGCCGCGGUAAU
rnacentral:rRNA from 1 species